AUUGAACGCUGGCGGCAUGCCUUACACAUGCAAGUCGAACGGCAGCACGGGAGCUUGCUCCUGGUGGCGAGUGGCGAACGGGUGAGUAAUACAUCGGAACGUACCCUGAAGUGGGGGAUAACGUAGCGAAAGUUACGCUAAUACCGCAUAUUCUGUGAGCAGGAAAGAGGGGGAUCGCAAGACCUCUUGCUUUAGGAGCGGCCGAUGUCGGAUUAGCUAGUUGGUGGGGUAAAGGCCUACCAAGGCUACGAUCUGUAGCGGGUCUGAGAGGAUGAUCCGCCACACUGGAACUGAGACACGGUCCAGACUCCUACGGGAGGCAGCAGUGGGGGAAUUUUGGACAAUGGGGGGCAACCCUGAUCCAGCCAUGCCGCGUGAGUGAAGAAGG
rnacentral:rRNA from 1 species